rnacentral:rRNA from 1 species
UGCGCAGGCGGCCCCGCAAGUCAGGCGUGAAAUCCCCGGGCUUAACUUGGGAAUGGCGCUUGAAACUACGGGGCUGGAGUGUGGCAGAGGGAGGUGGAAUUCCACGUGUAGCGGUGAAAUGCGUAGAGAUGUGGAGGAACACCGAUGGCGAAGGCAGCCUCCUGGGCCAACACUGACGCUCAUGCACGAAAGCGUGGGGAGCAAACAGGAUUAGAUACCCUGGUAGUCCACGCCCUAAACGAUGAUGACUAGUUGUUGGAGGAGUUAAAUCCUUUAGUAACGCAGCUAACGCGAGAAGUCAUCCGCCUGGGGAGUACGGUCGCAAGAUUAAA